GGUGCUGUGCCUGAGCGGUUAGGGAGCGGUCUGCAAAACCGUUUUACGUCGGUUCAAAUCCGAUCGGCACCUCCA
rnacentral:tRNA from 1 species